UUAUGUAAUAUAAUUUAAGGUCUGGCCUGCCCAAUGAUUUAAUUUAAUGGCCGCAGUAUUUUGACUGUGCAAAGGUAGCAUAAUCAUUAGUUUCUUAAUUAGGAACUGGUAUGAAUGGUUGGAUGAGAGAAGAACUGUCUCAUGUUGAUUAUAUAGAAUUUUAUCUUUAAGUUAAAAAGCUUAAAUUUGGAUUAAAGACGAGAAGACCCUUUAGAGUUUUAUAAUAAUAUAUUUUGGAUUUUUAAGUAUAUAUAGGUCGAUAGUUGAAUUAUUAUUUUGUUGGGGUGAUGGAAAAAUUUAAUUAACUUUUUUUUUAUAUUAACACAUUUGAGUGAUUUGUUGAUCCAUUAUUUAUGAUCAUAAGUUUAAAUUACCUAAGGGAUAACAGCGUAAUCUUUAUGGAGAGUUCUUAUUGAUAUAAGGGUUUGCGACCUCGAUGUUGGAUUAAAAUUUAUUUUUGGUGCAAAAGCUAAAUAAUUAGGUCUGUUCGACCUUUAAAAUUUUACGUGAUCUGA
rnacentral:rRNA from 1 species